rnacentral:rRNA from 1 species
GGAAAGGCGAAAAGAACCCCGGCGAGGGGAGUGAAAAAGAACCUGAAACCGUGUACGUACAAGCAGUGGGAGCACCUUCGGGUGUGACUGCGUACCUUUUGUAUAAUGGGUCAGCGACUUAUAUUCUGUAGCAAGGUUAACCGUAUAGGGGAGCCGCAGGGAAACCGAGUCUUAACUGGGCGUUAAGUUGCAGGGUAUAGACCCGAAACCCGGUGAUCUAGCCAUGGGCAGGUUGAAGGUUGGGUAACACUAACUGGAGGACCGAACCGACUAAUGUUGAAAAAUUAGCGGAUGACUUGUGGCUGGGGGUGAAAGGCCAAUCAAACCGGGAGAUAGCUGGUUCUCCCCGAAAGCUAUUUAGGUAGCGCCUCGUGAACUCAUCUUCGGGGGUAGAGCACUGUUUCGGCUAGGGGGUCAUCCCGACUUACCAACCCGAUGCAAACUACGAAUACCGAAGAAUGUUAUCACGGGAGACACACGGCGGGUGCUAACGUCCGUCGUGAAGAGGGAAACAACCCAGACCGCCAGCUAAGGUCCCAAAGUCAUGGUUAAGUGGGAAACGAUGUGGGAAGGCACAGACAGCCAGGAUGUUGGCUUAGAAGCAGCCAUCAUUUAAAGAAAGCGUAAUAGCUCACUGGUCGAGUCGGCCUGCGCGGAAGAUGUAACGGGGCUAAACCAUGCACCGAAGCUGCGGCAGCGACACUAUGUGUUGUUGGGUAGGGGAGCGUUCUGUAAGCCUGCGAAGGUGACCUGUGAGGGUUGCUGGAGGUAUCAGAAGUGCGAAUGCUGACAUAAGUAACGAUAAAGCGGGUGAAAAGCCCGCUCGCCGGAAGACCAAGGGUUCCUGUCCAACGUUAAUCGGGGCAGGGUGAGUCGACCCCUAAGGCGAGGCCGAAAGGCGUAGUCGAUGGGAAACAGGUUAAUAUUCCUGUACUUGGUGUUACUGCGAAGGGGGGACGGAGAAGGCUAUGUUAGCCGGGCGACGGUUGUC